rnacentral:rRNA from 1 species
AUUGAACGCUGGCGGCAGGCCUAACACAUGCAAGUCGAGCGGAUGGGCGGACGGGUGAGGAAUGCCUAGGUAUCUGCCUGGUAGUGGGGGAUAACGUCCGGAAACGGGAGCUAAUACCGCUAACUAUUAGAUGAGCCUAGGGCGAAUUAGCAAGUUGGUGGGGUAAAGGCCUACCAAGGCGACGAUCAGUAACUGGUCUGAGAGGAUGAUCAUUCACACUGGAACUGAGACACGGUCCAGACUCCUACGGGAGGCAGCAGUGGGGAAUAUUGGACAAUGGGCGAAAGCCUGAUCCAGCCAUGCCGCGUGUGUGAAGAAGGGUUUCGGAUUGUAAAGUACUUUAAGUUGGGAGGCGUUACCAACAGAAGAAGCACCGGCUAACUUCGUGCCAGCAGCCGCGGUAAUAC